GGCUCAGAUUGAACGCUGGCGGCAUGCUUUACACAUGCAAGUCGAACGGCAGCGCGGGGCAACCUGGCGGCGAGUGGCGAACGGGUGAGUAAUAUAUCGGAACGUACCCAAGAGUGGGGGAUAACGUAGCGAAAGUUACGCUAAUACCGCAUACGAUCCAAGGAUGAAAGUGGGGGAUUCGCAAGAACCUCAUGCUCCUGGAGCGGCCGAUAUCUGAUUAGCUAGUUGGUGAGGUAAAGGCUCACCAAGGCGACGAUCAGUAGCUGGUCUGAGAGGACGACCAGCCACACUGGGACUGAGACACGGCCCAGACUCCUACGGGAGGCAGCAGUGGGGAAUUUUGGACAAUGGGCGCAAGCCUGAUCCAGCAAUGCCGCGUGAGUGAAGAAGGCCUUCGGGUUGUAAAGCUCUUUUGUCAGGGAAGAAACGGCUGAGGUUAAUACCUUUGGCUAAUGACGGUACCUGAAGAAUAAGCACCGGCUAACUACGUGCCAGCAGCCGCGGUAAUACGUAGGGUGCAAGCGUUAAUCGGAAUUACUGGGCGUAAAGCGUGCGCAGGCGGUUUUGUAAGUCUGUCGUGAAAGCCCCGGGCUCAACCUGGGAAUUGCGAUGGAGACUGCAAGGCUUGAAUCUGGCAGAGGGGGGUAGAAUUCCACGUGUAGCAGUGAAAUGCGUAGAGAUGUGGAGGAACACCGAUGGCGAAGGCAGCCCCCUGGGUCAAGAUUGACGCUCAUGCACGAAAGCGUGGGGAGCAAACAGGAUUAGAUACCCUGGUAGUCCACGCCCUAAACGAUGUCUACUAGUUGUCGGGUUUUAAUUAACUUGGUAACGCAGCUAACGCGUGAAGUAGACCGCCUGGGGAGUACGGUCGCAAGAUUAAAACUCAAAGGAAUUGACGGGGACCCGCACAAGCGGUGGAUGAUGUGGAUUAAUUCGAUGCAACGCGAAAAACCUUACCUACCCUUGACAUGUACGGAACCUUUGAGAGAUCAGAGGGUGCUCGAAAGAGAGCCGUAACACAGGUGCUGCAUGGCUGUCGUCAGCUCGUGUCGUGAGAUGUUGGGUUAAGUCCCGCAACGAGCGCAACCCUUGUCAUUAGUUGCUACGAAAGGGCACUCUAAUGAGACUGCCGGUGACAAACCGGAGGAAGGUGGGGAUGACGUCAAGUCCUCAUGGCCCUUAUGGGUAGGGCUUCACACGUCAUACAAUGGUACAUACAGAGGGCCGCCAACCCGCGAGGGGGAGCUAAUCCCAGAAAGUGUAUCGUAGUCCGGAUCGCAGUCUGCAACUCGACUGCGUGAAGUUGGAAUCGCUAGUAAUCGCGGAUCAGCAUGUCGCGGUGAAUACGUUCCCGGGUCUUGUACACACCGCCCGUCACACCAUGGGAGCGGGUUUUACCAGAAGUAGGUAGCUUAACCGCAAGGAGGGCGCUUACCACGGUAGGAU
rnacentral:rRNA from 1 species